rnacentral:rRNA from 1 species
AAAGCCUACGGGCGCAGCAGUGGGGAAUAUUGGGCAAUGGGCGCAAGCCUGACCCAGCAACGCCGCGUGAAGGAAGAAGGCUUUCGGGUUGUAAACUUCUUUUGUCAGGGACGAAGCAAGUGACGGUACCUGACGAAUAAGCCACGGCUAACUACGUGCCAGCAGCCGCGGUAAUACGUAGGUGGCAAGCGUUAUCCGGAAUUACUGGGUGUAAAGGGUGUGUAGGCGGGGCUGCAAGUCAGAUGUGAAAAUUAUGGGCUCAACCCAUAACCUGCGUCUGAAACUGUAGCUCUUGAGAGGGGGAG